rnacentral:rRNA from 1 species
AAUGCAUGCAAGUCGAGCGAACCUGUGACUUCGGUCACACAUAGGUUAGCGGCGGACGGCUGAGUAACACGUGAGUAACUUGCCUUUUGGUGGGGUAUAGCCCAGAGAAAUCUGGAUUAAUCCCGCAUAAGAUCUUAGAACCCUGGUUCUUUGAUGAAAGCCUUCGGGCGCCGAAAGAGAGGCUCGCGGACUAUCAGGUAGUUGGUGGGGUAAUGGCCUACCAAGCCUAAGACGGUUAGCUGGUCUGAGAGGAUGAUCAGCCAGAGGGGGACUGAGACACGGCCCCCACUCCUACGGGAGGCAGCAGCAGGGAAUCUUGGGCAAUGGACGAAAGUCUGACCCAGCGACAUCGCGUGGGGGAUGAAGGCCUUAGGGUUGUAAACCCCUUUUAUAAGAGAAGAGUAAGGACGGUACCUUAUGAAUAAGCCCCGGCUAACUACGUGCCAGCAGCCGCGGUAAUACGUAGGGGGCGAGCGUUACCCGGAAUCACUGGGCGUAAAGAGAGCGUAGGCGGUUUGGAAAGUCAUUUGUGAAAGCUCCUGGCUCAACUAGGAGAGGUCAAGUGAAACUUCCUGACUUGAGGACGGUAGAGGUAAGCGGAAUUCUUGGUGUAGCGGUGAAAUGCGUAGAUAUCAAGAAGAACACCAGAGGCGAAGGCGGCUUACUGGGCCGUUUCUGACGCUGAGGCUCGAGAGCGUGGGUAGCAAACAGGAUUAGAUACCCUGGUAGUCCACGCCGUAAACGAUGGAUACUAGGUAUGGAGGGUAUCGACCCCUUCCGUGCCGAAGCUAACGCGAUAAGUAUCCCGCCUGGGGAGUACGGCCGC